UACGAAGGGGGCUAGCGUUGCUCGGAAUUACUGGGCGUAAAGCGCACGUAGGCGGUCUUUUAAGUCGGGGGUGAAAUCCUGGAGCUCAACUCCAGAACUGCCUUCGAUACUGGAAGACUUGAGUCCGGGAGAGGUGAGUGGAACUGCGAAGUGUAGAGGUGAAAUUCGUAGAUAUUCGCAAGAACACCAGUGGCGAAGGCGGCUCACUGGCCCGGUACUGACGCUGAGGUGCGAAAGCGGUGGGG
rnacentral:rRNA from 1 species